GAACAGAAGCAAACAUUAAAUUCAAAAUGGAAUGUGUCCUCCGAAGGCAGCAUUUUUCAGUUUUCGGAUGUAGCUAUUGCUGAUUAUUAUUUAGCCUGUAUCCUGUUACAUGCCUCCUUGUUUCCUUGCCUUACCUUGCCUUCUUGUUUUUCGACCUUGGACUGUUUAUCAGAUUACUCUUUUGUCUCGCCCUGGAUUGUGCUCGUUUGCUGGUGUUUGACCUUGCCUGUUUGGACUAAGUCUUAUUAAGCUUGUGUUUUUUUUCCCUCCUCAGCAAGUUCCCUCCCUCUUUGUGUGCCCUGUUUGUGCCCUCUGCCCUCAGUGAGGAGUUGAGAGUGGCGCUUCUGGUUCCCAUGGAUGUCAUGCUGACACAGCUGCUCUCUUUCCAUCCCUUUGCAGAAUCUGUCCUGGACCCAGAUCUCCGUUACUAGAGAUUACGCCAGUACUAGUUUGGAUCCAGCCUCACUUAUGAAGACUUUAGAAGAUGCUAAUACUCACAAAAAUUUCAGAUGAUGGCAACUAUAGAUGAACAUGCAAAGCUGCUAAAUAAUCAUUGUACAGUAAUCAUUGCCCUAAAAGGGAGGAACUUGUCAACAAAUCAGCAGAUCAAUGAAAGCAGUUGACAAUUAUAGACCGGUGAGUUGGAUCAGUGUCAGAUCUGAAUCCUGCAGGUCUUCUGGGAUGACUGUUUAGGACAUCAGCACAUCAGAUGUUGGUCUGGACAGCUGUAUACCACAAUGACCUCCGCUUUUGAAUGGAUGGCUGACUACUACCUUGUUCUCUGAAGGUAUUACUAUAGCAAACCUGAGCACCCGUGACAGUGGAAAAGAUGCAAUGAACCCUCACACAUGGAUAUUGGUAAAUGUUGUUUUACUCAUUCUCUCUAACAAACACAACACAACAGUUACACCAUUUCAAAUUCUGAAGUGCACAAAUCCUAUUCUACAAAAAAGAGAACAACAGUAUACAAGUGCUCAGUUUAGCCCCUUUCACAGAUUCCAGAUAAUAUAUGUGUAAUGUGUCCCGGCAAUUGUUCCCAGAUCGUUAGAUUUUGGUUCAUUCACACUGCCAGUGAUUUCCUGGAAUCUGUGUGGGCCUUCACACACAACCCAUAAAGGUCCCUUAAUGACACAUUACAUCGCGAUGUAGUGUGUAGUGUAUGAGUUGAAAACGCUCGGCCAACACACAGAAGUUACACUGAUAAUGUGUCCUGGGAUCGUUUGAUUGUGGUUCAUUCACACUGACAGUGAUUUUCCGAAUCUGAGAUUUGUAAAUUAUUCCAUUCCUUUUUUACUCACAAUUUGUACAGUGUCCCAACUUCUUUGCAUUCUGGUUUGUACUUGAUUAAAAGGUAGAACAACUUCUGCCUGGUUUUGGAUGGCCACCAUAUAAGUGAAAUGCUUCUGACACCACU